GGAGAGAUCAAAGAAAAUAGCAUAGUGAAUAUGAACAAAUGUGCCGAAAAACAUUAAAUAAAACUUCGCUCUUGUGAAUUUGAUCUUUUGCUCUAAAUAUUUAUAGUUUGACAGACUACAUACAAAUGAACGUGUAUACUGCAAAUAUGACAAAUAUAUUUGCGGCGAAUUUGCAAGUGAUUUUCUGCUUGACCAUCGCUUUUUUUGCAAUAGGCGAAAUCAACAAACUGUCAGAUUUUCAAAACAAUAAACUGUCAUUUAUUUUUCAGUCUUCUAUUUUUUCAGUAAAUAAUGGAUUUCUGGCCGAAAUUUGAACAUUUCCUUGGAAAUCGCAUACCAAAAUUUUUAAUAAGUUUGCUGAAAACAAAUGGCUAUGAAAACGCCUUUUCAUUGAAAUUGUUAAAUUGUGAAACAGUUGAUUACUUAGAAAAAUAUGGUUUAAAUGACUCAGAAUAUUCAAAGAUUCACGAUAAACUAUUGCCUGGCCAUCGAACAUCUUUACUUGCUUUGCCGGAGUUAGUGCAAGAAUUCCAACUUUCCUGUUCAUUUGACGAAGCCACAAAAUCUAAUUCAGAGGAUUCGAGAUAUUCAUUUAUUCUGCAACAAUUAAUUAAAACGGCUGAGCAAAAUGCAGACAAAGACCCCAAGCAUCGCCGAUUUCCAGAGGAAAUUCAACAGUUUGCUAUAUUGCUAUACAUAAUGUGUGGUAAGGCUGCAUAUGAAAUUCUUUCAUGUAAUCUCCCUUUGCCGAAGGCCAACACAGUUUUGAGCUAUAUCAACAGAAAAAAAGAAUGAAUUACUGAAGGGGAGCUUCGAUGCAAAGAAUUGGCUACAUAUUUGGAUAAAGUAAAAGCACCAAAAACGGUAUGGCUUGCUGAAGACUCUUCCGGUAUUGUCCCGAAGGUCACUUAUGAUUCCGUGACAAACCAAAUGGUUGGUUUGGUAUUACCGAUUGACCCAGAAACGGGAAUUCCAAUCAAAUUUUUCUUCACUCCAAAAUCGGCACAAGACAUCGAAGAAUAUUUCAAAUUUCCAAAAUCGACAUUAGUGCAUAUUAUUAUGGCACAGCCUCUCAAGCCUGGCACUCCUCCAUUUAUUUUACAAAUUUUUGGAGUAGACAACAAGCACACGUCUCAGGAUAUUGCACGUCGUUGGGAAUUCACCAAAAAAGAGCUUGCGAAAUGUAACAUCAACGUUGCCGGUAUAUCGACGGAUUUGACGCACGCGCGCUUACAUGCAUGAAAUACAAUUUGAUCAAUAUGUCUAAAAGUGAAGACCCAUUAUCAAGUGCUACGAAUGAACAAGAAACAUCUUACGUACAGGAUCCAUCACAUUGUGUAACCAAAGCGAGAAACAGGAAUUUGAAACCCUCAAGCAUUCUUCCCAUGGGAUUAAAACAGGUGUCAGC